rnacentral:rRNA from 1 species
AGUGAACGCUGGCGGUAGGCCUAACACAUGCAAGUCGAACGGCAGCACAGAGGAGCUUGCUCCUUGGGUGGCGAGUGGCGGACGGGUGAGGAAUACAUCGGAAUCUACUCUGUCGUGGGGGAUAACAUAGGGAAACUUACGCUAAUACCGCAUACGACCUACGGGUGAAAGCAGGGGACCUGCGGGCCUUGCGCGAUGGAAUGAGCCGAUGUCGGAUUAGCAAGUUGGCGGGGUAAAGGGCCACCAAGGCGACGAUCCGUAGCUGGUCUGAGAGGAUGAUCAGCCACACUGGAACUGAGACACGGUCCAGACUCCUACGGGAGGCAGCAGUGGGGAAUAUUGGACAAUGGGCGCAAGCCUGAUCCAGCCAUACCGCGUGGGUGAAGAAGGCCUUCGGGUUGUAAAGCCCUUUUGUUGGGAAAGAAAUCCAGCUGGCUAAUACCCGGUUGGGAUGACGGUACCCAAAGAAUAAGCACCGGCUAACUCCGUGCCAGCCGCCGCCGUAA